rnacentral:rRNA from 1 species
GAUGAACGCUGGCGGCGUGCCUAAUACAUGCAAGUCGAGCGAACGGACGAGAAGCUUGCUUCUCUGAUGUUAGCGGCGGCCGGGUGAGUAACACGUGGAUAACCUACCUAUAAGACUGAGAUAACUUCGGGAAACCGGAGCUAAUACCGGAUGAUAUUUUGAACCGCAUGGUUCAAAAGUGAAAGACGGUCUUGCUGUCACUUAUAGAUGGAUCCGCGCUGCAUUAGCUAGUUGGUAAGGUAACGGCUUACCAAGGCAACGACGCAUAGCCGACAUGAGAGGGUGAUCGGCCACACUGGAACUGAGACACGGUCCAGACUCCUACGGGAGGCAGCAGUAGGGAAUCUUACGCAAUGGGCGAAAGCCUGACGGAGCAACGCCGCGUGAGUGAUGAAGGUCUUCGGAUCGUAAAACUCUGUUAUUAGGGAAGAACAUAUGUGUAAGUAACUGUGCACAUCUUGACGGUACCUAAUCAGAAAGCCACGGCUAACUACGUG